rnacentral:rRNA from 1 species
UAAUAAUGCAGUCGAGCGGACAGAUGGGAGCUUGCUCCCUGAUGUUAGCGGCGGACGGGUGAGUAACACGUGGGUAACCUGCCUGUAAGACUGGGAUAACUCCGGGAAACCGGGGCUAAUACCGGAUGGUUGUUUGAACCGCAUGGUUCAAACAUAAAAGGUGGCUUCGGCUACCACUUACAGAUGGACCCGCGGCGCAUUAGCUAGUUGGUGAGGUAACGGCUCACCAAGGCAACGAUGCGUAGCCGACCUGAGAGGGUGAUCGGCCACACUGGGACUGAGACACGGCCCAGACUCCUACGGGAGGCAGCAGUAGGGAAUCUUCCGCAAUGGACGAAAGUCUGACGGAGCAACGCCGCGGGAGUGAUGAAGGUUUUCGGAUCGUAAACCUCUGUUGUUAGGGAAGAACAAGUACCGUUCGAAUAGGGCGGUACCUUGACGGUACCUAACCAGAAGCCACGGCUAACUACGUGCCAGCAGCCGCGGUAGGUUCUAGGUGGCAAGCGUUGUCCGGAAUUAUUGGGCGUAAAGGGCUCGCAGGCGGUUUCUUAAGUCUGAUGUGAAAGCCCCCGGCUCAACCGGGGAGGGUCAUUGGAAACUGGGGAACUUGAGUGCAGAAGAGGAGAGUGGAAUUCCACGUGUAGCGGUCAAAUGCGUAGAGAUGUGGAGGAACACCAGUGG